GUUAAAAUCACAAAUAAAUGUUUUUUUACUCACUCGAAAAUCAUAUGAAAUGUGUCGCCUAGACCCUUAUGCCGUGUAACCGUCGAAUUAUUAUCAGAGUCGUUUAAAAUCGCGAUAAACGGCACAGGCAACAUUUCGUUAUCUACUGUUACGCGGACAUUGAGUAUUGAUGGUCUUUUCGACUUUCUCCCGGUUUAUCGGCCAGUCAGUUAUAUUAAUUGGCCAUUUGUAAGGGUUUCCCGCGGAAUCGAAAUGUCGUUUCGGGCUGUUUGUCUUCGGAUCGAUGGGUUUUAUAGGUAAAACUGUACAAACAAUAAAAUAAUACCGAACGAACUCGUUUUUAGACACGACGAGUACCGAACUUAUACUACUAUACGGAGCGCGUCGCGCGGAAAUCCGAUAAAUCGAAUUAUUUUUUUUACUGAUCGAUAGUUUUGAGUUGUUAUUUUUUGUAAUAAUAUUAUCAGAGCUUUUCGCUCUAUGAUUUUCGUAUAAAUAUUUCAAAGUUAGAAUGAGUAAACUAUUCGUUUACGAUAUUCAAAUUAUUUUCAAACAAAUACAACAAAACAACAAUGUUGGUUUUAAAAAUACGUUUCUUAAUUGUCUACGAUUUUUCGAAUUUCGUUAAAUAGUAUAAAAUAUAAGAAUUAUAGCGCAAGGCUUAAGUUAUUAUUUGUUAAUAAAAAAAAAAAAAAAACUAUUCGAGUGUUUCGUAGGACUCCCGGUAAAAGGGAAUUACUUCAAGUACCAUCUUCAGAAGUCAUUUCGAGUGGAAUUUAGUAGGCGUGUGAAAGCUAUAGCGAGGUUCACGGCUUACCGUGUAUAUUGCGAAGUAAGUAAAAUGCCGUUAACAAAAUAAUGCCAAAAACCACGG